AUUUCUGUUUAGGACACAUUGUCAAACUUAUUGCAAGACAGAUUCUUCUUUCUCUGCCUUUGACAUUCUGUUAAUAUGAUGUCCAUCAUUAGUCUGACUGAAAUAAUAUCAGCUUUACUGCAGAUUUCCACUGCUCAGGAUGAUCUGAAAUUUUUACUUCUAGUCCUAAUGUGCAGAAGAUCAUUGUUGACAAGCCUCAUGCUGUGAGAGGAUUAGUGCUUCCAACUGCAGCA